GACACUGUGUCCGAGUGGUUAAGGAGUUUGCCUCGAAUAGUGCGACUCGAAGUCGUGUCUGGAAAGCAAAUAGGCUCUGCCUGCAGAGGUUCGAAUCCUCUCAGUGUCG